rnacentral:tRNA from 1 species
UUGAGGUUGGGGCUCAGUGGUAGAGCACUUGCCUCCCGUGCAUGAGGCACUGGGUUCGAUCCUCAGUACCACAUA